UACGUAGGGGCGAGCGUUGUCCGGAUUUACUGGGCGUAAAGGGUGAGUAGGCGGUUAUAUAUGUCAGGUGUAAAAAGCUAUGGCUUAACCAUAGUAAGCACUUGAAACUGUAUGACUUGAGUGCAGGAGAGGUAAGCGGAAUUCCUAGUAUAGCGGUGAAAUGCGUAGAUAUUAGGAGGAACACCGGUGGCGAAGGCGGCUUACUGGACUGUAACUGACGCUGAGUCACGAAAGCGUGGGUAGCAAACAGGAUUAGAUACCCGUGUAGUCCCU
rnacentral:rRNA from 1 species